GACGAACGCUGGCGGCGUGCUUAACACAUGCAAGUCGAACGGAAAGGCCCUGCUUUUGUGGGGUGCUCGAGUGGCGAACGGGUGAGUAACACGUGAGUAACCUGCCCUUGACUUUGGGAUAACUUCAGGAAACUGGGGCUAAUACCGGAUAGGAGCUCCUGCUGCAUGGUGGGGGUUGGAGAGUUUCGGCGGUUGGGGAUGGACUCGCGGCUUAUCAGCUUGUUGGUGUGGUAGUGGCUUACCAAGGCUUUGACGGGUAGCCGGCCUGAGAGGGUGACCGGCCACAUUGGGACUGAGAUACGGCCCAGACGCCUACGGGAGGCAGCAGUGGGGAAUAUUGCACAAUGGGCGGAAGCCUGAUGCAGCAACGCCGCGUGCGGGAUGACGGCCUUCGGGGUGUAAACCGCUUUCGCCUGUGACGAAGCGUGAGUGACGGUAAUGGGUAAAGAAGCACCGGCUAACUACGUG
rnacentral:rRNA from 1 species